rnacentral:rRNA from 1 species
AUUCCACGUUUUCCGCGCCGUAGCUAACGCAUUAAGUGCCCCGCCUGGGGAGUACGGCCGCAAGGCUAAAACUCAAAGAAAUUGACGGGGGCCCGCACAAGCGGCGGAGCAUGCGGAUUAAUUCGAUGCAACGCGAAGAACCUUACCAAGGCUUGACAUAUACUGGACUGCGUCAGAGAUGGCGUUUCCCUUCGGGGCUGGUAUACAGGUGGUGCAUGGUUGUCGUCAGCUCGUGUCGUGAGAUGUUGGGUUAAGUCCCGCAACGAGCGCAACCCUCGUUCUAUGUUGCCAGCACGUUAUGGUGGGGACUCAUAGGAGACUGCCGGGGUCAACUCGGAGGAAGGUGGGGAUGACGUCAAAUCAUCAUGCCCCUUAUGUCUUGGGCUUCACGCAUGCUACAAUGGCCGGUACAAAGGGCUGCAAUACCGCAAGGUGGAGCGAAUCCCAUAAAGCCGGUCUCAGUUCGGAUUGGGGUCUGCAACUCGACCCCAUGAAGUCGGAGUCGCUAGUAAUCGUAGAUCAGCAACGCUACGGUGAAUACGUUCCCGGGCCUUGUACACACCGCCCGUCAAGUCACGAAAGUCGGUAACACCCGAAGCCGGUGGCCUAACCGUAAGGAAGGAGCCGUCGAAGGUGGGAUCGGUGAUUGGGACUAAGUCGUAACAAGGUAGCCGUACCGGAAGGUGCGGCUG